rnacentral:rRNA from 1 species
GAUGAACGCUGACAGAAUGCUUAACACAUGCAAGUCGAUGGGGAAGUGGUGCUUGCACCAUGGUAACCAUGGCGGACGGGUGGGUAACGCGUAAGGAACUUACCUGCGGGACCGGGAUAACAGCAGGAAACUGCUGACAAGACCGGAUAAGGUCAUUAAGCUGCAUAGCUUAGUGAUGAAAGGAGACGCCUGCGGAGAGCCUUGCGUCCUAUUAGCUAGUUGGAGGGGUAACGGCCCACCAAGGCGAAGAUAGGUAGCCGGCCUGAGGGGGUGGACGGCCACAAGGGGACUGAGAUACGGCCCUUACUCCUACGGGAGGCAGCAGUGGGGAAUAUUGGACAAUGGGGGCAACCCUGAUCCAGCAAUUCUGUGUGCACGAAGACGGUUUUCGGAUUGUAAAGUGCUUUCAGCAGGGAAGAAGGAAGUGACGGUACCUGCAGAAGAAGCGACGGCUAAAUACGUG